rnacentral:misc_RNA from 1 species
GCGGAGGAAAAGAAACCAACAGGGAUUGCCUUAGUAACGGCGAGUGAAGCGGCAACAGCUCAAAUUUGAAAUCUGGCUCCUUCGGGGUCCGAGUUGUAAUUUGCAGAGGAUGCUUCGAGUUAUGGUUCCUUCCGAGUUCCCUGGAACGGGACGCCAUAGAGGGUGAGAGCCCCGUCUGGUAGGAAACCAUGCUCAUGUGAAGCUCCCUCGACGAGUCGAGUAGUUUGGGAAUGCUGCUCUAAGGGGAGGUAUACUCCUUCCAAGGCUAAAUACCGGCUAGAGACCGAUAGCGCACAAGUAGAGUGAUCGAAAGAUGAAAAGUACUUUGAAAAGAGAGUCAAACAGCACGUGAAAUUGUUAAAAGGGAAGCGCUCGCUACCAGACGUGGGUUCGGUGGUUCAACCAGGUCCAUGACCUGGGGCACUCCGCCGGCCCAGGCCAGCAUCAGCUUUCCGUCGGGGGCAAAGGCGUCGGGAAUGUGGCUCUCCUUCGGGGGAGUGUUAUAGCCCGUCGCGUCAUACCCUUCGGGGGGCUGAGGUACGCGCUCCGCAAGGAUGCUGGCGUAAUGGUAGCUAGUGACCCGUCUUGAAACACCGACCAAGGAGUCAACCUUAUGUGCGAGUGCCCGGGCGUAAAACCCCAGCGCGGAAUGAAAGUGAACGUAGGUGAGAGCUUCGGCGCAUCACCGACCGAUCCUGAUGUCCUCGGACGGAUUUGAGUGAGAGCAUAUAGGGUUGGACCCGAAAGAAGAUGAACUAUGCGUGUGUAGGGUGAAGCCAGAGGAAACUCUGGUGGAGGCUCGCAGCGGUUCUGACGUGCAAAUCGA